UCGGCGAGCGGCGGACGGCUGAGUAACGCGUGGGAAUCUACCCUAAAGUGAGGGAUAACCGCCCGAAAGGGUGGCUAAUACCGCAUAUGAUCUUCGGAUUAAGGGAUUUAUCCGCUUUAGGAAGAGCCCGCGUUAGAUUAGGUAGUUGGUAGGGUAAUGGCCUACCAAGCCAACGAUCUAUAGCUGGUCUGAGAGGAUGAUCAGCCAGACUGGAACUGAGACACGGUCCAGACUCCUACGGGAGGCAGCAGUGAGGAAUCUUCCACAAUGGGCGAAAGCCUGAUGGAGCAACGCCGCGUGAAGGAUGAAGGCCUUCGGGUUGUAAACUUCUUUUAUGAGUGAAGAAUAUGACGGUAACUCAUGAAUAAGCACCGGCUAACUACGUGCCAGCAGCCGCGGUCAUACGUAGGGUGCAAGCAUUAUCCGGAGUGACUGGGCGUAAAGAGUUGCGUAGGCGGUUUAAUAAGUGAAUAGUGAAACCUGGUGGCUCAACCAUACAGACUAUUAUUCAAACUGUUAAACUCGAGAGUAGUAGAGGUAACUGGAAUUUCUAGUGUAGGAGUGAAAUCCGUAGAUAUUAGAAGGAACACCAAUGGCGUAGGCAGGUUACUGGACUAUUUCUGACGCUAAGGCACGAAAGCGUGGGGAGCGAACUGGAUUAGAUACC
rnacentral:rRNA from 1 species